rnacentral:rRNA from 1 species
UCUUCGGAGAGUUUGAUCCUGGCUCAGGAUGAACGCUGGCGGCGUGCCUAAUACAUGCAAGUCGAGCGAACUGAUUAGAAGCUUGCUUCUAUGACGUUAGCGGCGGACGGGUGAGUAACACGUGGGCAACCUGCCUGUAAGACUGGGAUAACUCCGGGAAACCGGAGCUAAUACCGGAUAACAUUUUCUCUUGCAUAAGAGAAAAUUGAAAGAUGGUUUCGGCUAUCACUUACAGAUGGACUCCGCGGUGCAUUAGCUAGUUGGUGAGGUAACGGCUCACCAAGGCAACGAUGCAUAGCCGACCUGAGAGGGUGAUCGACCACACUGGGACUGAGACACGUACCCAGACUCCUACGGGAGGCAGCAGUAGGGAAUCUUCCGCAAUGGACGAAAGUCUGACGGAGCAACGCCGCGUGAGUGAUGAAGGCUUUCGGGUCGUAAAACUCUGUUGUUAGGGAAGAACAAGUACAAGAGUAACUGCUUGUACCUUGACGGUACCUAACCAGAAAGCCACGGCUAACUACGUGCCAGCAGCCGCGGUAAUACGUAGGUGGCAAGCGUUAUCCGGAAUUAUUGGGCGUAAAGCGCGCGCAGGCGGUUUCUUAAGUCUGAUGUGAAAGCCCACGGCUCAACCGUGGAGGGUCAUUGGAAACUGGGGAACUUGAGUGCAGAAGAGAAAAGCGGAAUUCCACGUGUAGCGGUGAAAUGCGUAGAGAUGUGGAGGAACACCAGUGGCGAAGGCGGCUUUUUGGUCUGUAACUGACGCUGAGGCGCGAAAGCGUGGGGAGCAAACAGGAUUAGAUACCCUGGUAGUCCACGCCGUAAACGAUGAGUGCUAAGUGUUAGAGGGUUUCCGCCCUUUAGUGCUGCAGCUAACGCAUUAAGCACUCCGCCUGGGGAGUACGGUCGCAAGACUGAAACUCAAAGGAAUUGACGGGGAUCCGCACAAGCGGUGGAGCAUGUGGUUUAAUUCGAAGCAACGCGAAGAACCUUACCAGGUCUUGACAUCCUCUGACAACUCUAGAGAUAGAGCGUUCCCCUUCGGGGGACAGAGUGACAGGUGGUGCAUGGUUGUCGUCAGCUCGUGUCGUGAGAUGUUGGGUUAAGUCCCGCAACGAGCGCAACCCUUGAUCUUAGUUGCCAGCAUUUAGUUGGGCACUCUAAGGUGACUGCCGGUGACAAACCGGAGGAAGGUGGGGAUGACGUCAAAUCAUCAUGCCCCUUAUGACCUGGGCUACACACGUGCUACAAUGGAUGGUACAAAGGGCUGCAAGACCGCGAGGUCAAGCCAAUCCCAUAAAACCAUUCUCAGUUCGGAUUGUAGGCUGCAACUCGCCUACAUGAAGCUGGAAUCGCUAGUAAUCGCGGAUCAGCAUGCCGCGGUGAAUACGUUCCCGAGCCUUGUACACACCGCCCGUCACACCACGAGAGUUUGUAACACCCGAAGUCGGUGGGGUAACCUUUAUGGAGCCAGCCGCCUAAGGUGGGACAGAUGAUUGGGGUGAAGUCGUAACAAGGUAGCCGUAUCGGAAGGUGCGGCUGGAUCACCUCCUUU